UACGAGGGGUGCAAGCGUUAUUCGGAUUUACUGGGCGUAAAGAGUGCGUAGACGGUUUAUCAAGUCUGUUGUUAAAUUCCUCGGCUUAACCGAGGGUCAGCGGUAGAAACUGGUAGACUAGAGUGUGGGAGAGAGAAGUGGAAUUCCCGGAGUAGCGGUAAAAUGCGUAGAUCUCGGGAGGAACACCGAUGGCGAAGGCAGCUUCUUGGACCAUUACUGACGUUGAGGCACGAAAGCGUGGGGAGCAAACAGG
rnacentral:rRNA from 1 species